UUACGACCACAUCACGUUGAAACACAAGCUCCCAUAAGAUAAUCGAAGUUAAGCAACGUCGAGCCUGGUUAGUACCUAGAUGGGUGACCGCUUGAGAAUACCAGGUGCU